rnacentral:rRNA from 1 species
CCUACGGGAGGCAGCAGUGAGGAAUAUUGGUCAAUGGGCGGAAGCCUGAACCAGCCAAGUAGCGUGCAGGAUGACGGCCCUACGGGUUGUAAACUGCUUUUAUACGGGAAUAACGCGCCUUACGUGUAGGGCUUUGCAUGUACCGUAUGAAUCAGGACCGGCUAAUUCCGUGCCAGCAGCCGCGGUAAUACGGAUGGGCCGGGCGUUAUCCGGAUUUAUUGGGUUUAAAGGGAGCGUAGGCGGCAUGUCAAGCGUGCUGUGAAAUGUCCGGGCUCAACCCGGGCCUUGCAGCGCGAACUGGCGUGCUGGAGUGCGCGGAAGGCAGGCGGAAUUCGUCGUGUAGCGGUGAAAUGCGUAGAUAUGACGAAGAACCCCGAUGGCGAAGGCAGCUUGCUGCAGCGGAACUGACGUUGAUGCUCGAAAGCGCGGGUAUCGAACAGGAUUAGAUACCCGUGUAGUC